AUUGAACGCUGGCGGCAGGCCUAACACAUGCAAGUCGAGCGGAGCGGCGGACGGGUGAGUAAUGACUAGGAAUCUGACUGGUAGUGGGGGAUAACGUCCGGCAACGGGCGCUAAUACCGCAUAAUAGAAGAUGAGCCUAGGUCGGAUUAGCUAGUUGGAGGGGGAAAGGCCUAACAAGGCGACGAUCCGUAACUGGUCUGAGAGGCUGAUCAGUCACACUGGUACUGAGACACGGUCCAGACUCCUACGGGAGGCAGCAGUGGGGAAUAUUGUACAAUGGGCGAAAGCCUGAUCCAGCCAUGCCGCGUGUGUGAAGAAGGUCUUCGGAUUGUAAAUCACUUUAAGUUGGGAGGCGUUACCAACAGAAUAAGCACCGGCUAACUUCGUGCCAGCAGCCGCGGUAAUUC
rnacentral:rRNA from 1 species